GUUAGCAUGAAGCCCAGAGCUGUGAAGCCGAACAAAUGGAGCCUGAAGGGGAAACCCAGCGGUAUUUUGAAAACAAUGUGCCGGGAGUCAGAUGUUCUCUCGGGGUUUAGCGCACCUCAACCACCCGGUCAGAUGACUGACGAGGCGAGGCGAGCAGCUGCUGGGGCAGCGGACGAACACAUCUGCGCAUUUGUGCAAUUAAGCGAUAUCUUGAUAAACCGAUCAGAUAUUUUAGCCAUUGCUACUUCCGUUUGAACAAUCUACUUCGACCCGCAAUGGAUCAUGGG